rnacentral:rRNA from 1 species
UACGAAGGGUGCAAGCGUUGCUCGGAAUUAUUGGGCGUAAAGGGUAGGUAGGUGGUUACGUAUGUCUGAGGUGAAAGCCCCGAGCUUAACUUGGGAAGUGCCUUGGAAACGGCGUAACUAGAGUAUUGGAGAGGUUUGUAGAAUUCCCGGUGUAGCGGUGAAAUGCGUAGAGAUCGGGAGGAAUAUCAGAGGCGAAGGCGACAAACUGGACAAUUACUGACACUAAACUACGAAAGCGUGGGGAGCAAACAGG